CAAAGAGAGCAAAAAAAGCACUUGCUAAAUGGAGGACUACUUUGAGAUGGCUGCUAUUCUCCGGCUUAUUGCCUCCUGUCGGCCAUGGUUUCACAUGAGGUCCGGGGUGUCAGGUCCGCUUCCACCAAUAAAGGCUGUGAUUGACACUAGCGGGAGAGACUUGAGCUGGGAAAAGAAACUGAAUCUCAAUGUAUGAGGGACGCUUGAGGCAAACCGCAGAGAAGUCACCAUACAUGUCCCUGAUGGAAGAGGACCUGAGAUUACCUCAUUAUGGCCUAUAAGAUGUUCUCCCUUUGGAAGUAUUGGAAUACUUUCAAU